UACAGAGGGUGCGAGCGUUAAUCGGAAUUACUGGGCGUAAAGCGCGCGUAGGCGGCUUUGCAAGUCGGGUGUGAAAUCCCCAGGCUUAACCUGGGAACUGCAUUCGAGACUGCAUUGCUAGAGUAUGGGAGAGGGAAGUGGAAUUUCCGGUGUAGCGGUGAAAUGCGUAGAUAUCAGGAGGAACACCGGUGGCGAAGGCGUCCCUCUGGCCGGAUACUGACGUGAGACGCGAAAGCGUGGGGAGCAAACAGGAUUAG
rnacentral:rRNA from 1 species